rnacentral:rRNA from 1 species
ACUCAAAUGAAUUGACGGGGGCCCGCACAAGCGGUGGAGCAUGUGGUUCAAUUCGACGCAACGCGAAGAACCUUACCUGGGUUGGAACCCUCCAGAAGUCCGAAGAGAUUUGGAUGUGCUCGCAAGAGAACUGGAUGUCCAGGUGCUGCAUGGCUGUCGUCAGCUCGUGUCGUGAGAUGUUGGGUUAAGUCCCGCAACGAGCGCAACCCUUGUCGUUAGUUGCUAACAGUUCGGCUGAGCACUCUAGCGAGACUGCCGGUGUUAAACCGGAGGAAGGUGGGGAUGACGUCAAGUCCUCAUGGCCCUUAUGCCCAGGGCUACACACGUGCUACAAUGGGCGCUACAAAGCGUUGCUAACCCGCGAGGGGGAGCUAAUCGCAAAAAAGCGUCCUCAGUUCAGAUUGCAGUCUGCAACUCGACUGCAUGAAGUUGGAAUCGCUAGUAAUCCCUAAUCAGCAGGUAGGGGUGAAUACGUUCCCGGGCCUUGCACACACCGCCCGU